CUUUUGAGCCUGGCAGAAUGUGAAAAGACCGGAAAUAAAGGCUCCCUGGACGCCACCAUGUUGUGCGCCGGGGAAACUGGCAAAGACGCUUGCCAGGGUGACUCUGGCGGACCUUUGGUUGCUCCCAGAAGCGGUUCAUGGGAACUCGUUGGUGUGGUGAGCUGGGGAUUCGGGUGCGGCCGUGCCCACUAUCCGGGCGUAUACGCAGACACCUAUUACUUUACAUCGUGGCUCAACAGCACUCUGUAGACGGUCUCGUGUUUUAUUAUCCGGAUGAAUAAACUAGAUAUACGACAG